AAAGGAAAAAAGUAUUCUGUAAAAUAUAGAAAUAUAGGUAAUAAUGCCUGUUUUGAAGGGUUAUUAAUAUGAGAUUUAAAUGAGAUAAGUAUACCCACAGCUUAACAUUUUGCCUGGCAAAUAUUAAUAUAUGUAACUACUAAACUAAUUGGAAGACAUUUUACUGUCCAUGAAGAUAUUAUGAAACACUUCAUUGAAUGCCUUGCUGAAGUAUGGAUCUGUUCUAUGUAUCAGUGCUUUUCAGAUUUUAUCAUGCAUGAGAAUUACCUAGGGAUCUUGUUAAAAUGCAGAUUCUAAUUGAGCAGGUUUGUGGUGGAGGCUGAGGUUCUAACAAACUCCUAGGUGAUGCCAGUGUUGCUGGCCUGCAGACCACACUUUGAUUAGCGCUUGUGUAUAUUACAUUCCUUUAUUUCUCUGUCUAGUUAUAUUCUUGAAGGACUUGUUUUCAGUGAAUCAUUUCUGGUGAUUCCAAAAGCUUACAGCCCUUUCUAAAAGCUUAAAACUCUCUUUUUAAAGAAGAAUCCAUAGGCCAGAGAUAGGUGUGUAUGUACAUGAAAGAAAUAUCAAUUGUGCAGGUUACAAAAGAUUGAUGUCAAAGUUAUCAGGGUCUGGGAACUUUUGUAGCCUUCAGUAGAUGCCUCACCUUUGAAACUAGACCACAUUUGCCCAUCCCCAGACUUUGACACCUUGCUUAUCUUUAAAGAUCUACAACAGCAUUUCUGGUGGGCUCCCUCUAGAGCGGUGAGUGUCCCGAGAGGUCAGAUUGCCGGCAGGUAAAUUAGGGAUUUGGUGAUCGACCUCUUUAUAAGGAAUCAGAGACAUGGCCCAUGGACAUGGACAUGAACAUGAACAUGGACAUAGUAAAAUGGAACUUCCAAAUUAUGAACAGUGGAAGAUAGAAGGGACACCAUUAGAAACUGUCCAACAGAAGCUGGCUGCGAGAGGGCUAAGAGAUCCAUGGGGCUAUAAUGAAGCUUGGAGAUACAUGGGUGGCUAUGCAAACAAUGUUUCCUCUAUUGGUGUAUUAUUAAAAGGAUUCAAAUGGGGAUUUGCUGCGUUUGUGGUAGCUAUAGGGGCUGAAUAUUUCCUGAAGUCCGUGAAUAAAGAUAAGAAGCAUCACUGAAGAUAAUACCUGGAAGUAAUUUAGUGAUUUCAUAAUUCUCUUAUAAAAAUAAGAUUUCUUCACUGUAGCCUACUUGUGUCUGUUUUUGUCCCUUAAAGAAUAUAAGUAAGAUUUAAUAAAGAAAAGCAUAU